UAUGCUUAGCCCUAAACCUAAAUAAUUUUAUAACAAAUUAUUCGCCAGAGAACUACAAGACCAGAGCUUAAAACUCAAAGGACUUAGGCGGUGCUUUAUACCCGCCUAGAGGAGCCUGUUCUAUAAUCGAUAAACCCCGAUAAACCUUACCACUCUUUGCCAACUCAGCCUAUAUACCGCCAUCUUCAGCAAACCCUAAAAAGGGACAAAAGUAAGCUCAAUCAUCACCAUAAAAACGUUAGGUCAAGGUGUAGCCUAUAGAGUGGAAAGCAAUGGGCUACAUUUUCUACUUUAGAACACACGAAAGCCCCUAUGAAACUCUAGAGACUAAAGGAGGAUUUAGCAGUAAAUUAAGAAUAGAGUGCUUAAUUGAACAAGGCCAUGAAGCACGC
rnacentral:rRNA from 1 species